GAUCAUGGCUCAGGAUGAACGCUAGCGGCAGGCUUAACACAUGCAAGUCGAGGGGCAGCGGGGUGUAGCAAUACACUGCCGGCGACCGGCGCACGGGUGCGUAACGCGUAUGCAACCUACCCAUAACAGGGGCAUAACACUGAGAAAUUGGUACUAAUUCCCCAUAACAUUCGAAGAGGCAUCUCUUUGGGUUGAAAACUCCGGUGGUUAUGGAUGGGCAUGCGUUGUAUUAGCUUAG
rnacentral:rRNA from 1 species